rnacentral:rRNA from 1 species
GAUGAACGCUAGCGGCAGGCUUAACACAUGCAAGUCGAGGGGUAGAAGUUGCUUGCAACUUUGAGACCGGCGCACGGGUGCGUAACGCGUAUGCAAUCUGCCUUAUACAGAGGGAUAGCCCAGAGAAAUUUGGAUUAAUACCUCAUAGUAUAAUUGAAUGGCAUCAUUUAAUUAUUAAAGUUCCAACGGUAUGAGAUGAGCAUGCGUCCUAUUAGCUAGAUGGUAAGGUAACGGCUUACCAUGGCAACGAUAGGUAGGGGUCCUGAGAGGGAGAUCCCCCACACUGGUACUGAGACACGGACCAGACUCCUACGGGAGGCAGCAGUGAGGAAUAUUGGACAAUGGGCGCAAGCCUGAUCCAGCCAUGCCGCGUGCAGGAAGAAGCAUCUAUGGUGUGUAAACUGCUUUUGUACGGGAAGAAACACUCCUUCGUGAAGGAGCUUGACGGUACCGUAAGAAUAAGGAUCGGCUAACUCCGUGCCAGCCGCCGCAGUAAAAC